rnacentral:misc_RNA from 1 species
GCACGAGCACGAGCUUUCGCUCCCGUUACACAAGAAAGUUUUCCAACUGCGGGAGAGAGUGUGGGUGGGAGUGCGUGUGUUGUGUGUGUGUGCUGCUUUUCCUGCUUGUGAAUGUAUUUUGCUCCAAUUUCGCCGCAGCUUCGGCUCGCGUUUUCCCGUUUCCCGACUUCGGAGUGCGCUCGCCGGGUCAGCGUGUUCAAUACGCAAGGUUCAGUUGAGCGCGCCGGACGUUUGACUCGUGGUCGUGGUCCGUUCGUCGAGACACCGUUACAGCAGCAGCGUCGUGCGUGCGUAGUAGUAACCGACCACAUACACACACACACACAGACGCAGAGUUCGUGGCGUGUAGUAAAACUCAUUAAACAGCAACUUAUUCAAUACUAUUUCACGCACGCGGCCAACGGCGGUGGAAAAACGCGCGCUUAACAGAGGUCCUCGAAAGCGAGUCGAACGGCAUUUUCGCCAUCGCCGCGGGCGGACUCUGAAAAUUAUUGCACAAAAGCAAACGAAGCGCGGCGAUAAAAGUUAAAUGUCGCGGUAAAUUGCCUCGUUCGCCCGAUCAAUACCAAAAAGGCAAGAACGAGAAAGUCACAGAGAAACGUCAGUCAAUUAAAGCGCUCUUAUGGAAUACACACAUAUUAUUUUUCAAGGCGAAAGCAAAUCUACACUGGAAAAUGGAAAGCGGAUAAGGCCAUAAGCGAGGAAAGCAAAACGAACGAAUUCAUGAUACAAACGGAACAAAGCCUUAGUACGUGUGAGGGAGCAACAAAAUACGUAUCAAAUUAUAGCCUAAGUAGCAGUUACGAAACCACCGAACCACGAGCAAGGAUAACGCAUACAGCGAACUAGGUUUACAGAGAGCACAACUCGAAUCGAACCCAGUCGAACCCAACUAUCGAUUAAGGAACCAACUCAGCAUAUCCCUUCGAUUGUCCACGCAAAUUGGACCAACGAUUCCAUAGCCAUAUCCACAUCCCUCAUUGGGAGCGAAACAAGCAAGGUGGCUGCAACAAAAUUAAUGUGUGAUAGCGCAACCACGGGAUGUUUCCUGACCAGAAGCAGCCAUCGCAAGGAGAAUGGAAGAUCAGUUCCUGAUGUCACCGCAAGCCCGGGUCGGGCCCCGCCCGGACCGCUGCCCGCCAACCAGCUGCCUUCGAUGGGCAACCAGCAGCACCAUGGCAACCAGCAACAUCAUGGAAACCAGCAGCAACACCAUGGCAAUCAGCACGGCAACCAUCGAGGUCAGAGCGGAAGUCUGUCGAACGCCGCCGGGGUCAAGGACCCGGUGAUGCUCCAGGGCGAUUUCCGGAAAGUCAGCGGCAUCAGCUCGGAGAUCUUCCGGCAGAUAGAGGCCGUCGAGAAUGACCACGACCCAAACACGGCCGCGGCCUUGGAGGCGGUGGAGCGGCGCGGUGAGAUGAUCGUGCGCGUCCUGGAGCCACGUUGCAUGGGCAGCAAACAGGCGGUGGACGCAGCCCACAAGCUGAUGAACAAGGCGGACGCACGGCACACCGUGCAGCUGGUGGAGAUUGUCAAGCGGCCGGGUCAGACGCUGGGCUUGUACAUCCGCGAGGGAAAUGGAGCCGACCGCACCGAUGGCGUGUUCAUCUCGCGGAUUGCCCUGGAGUCGGCUGUCUACAACAGCGGCUGCUUGCGGGUGGGCGAUGAAAUCCUUGCGGUGAAUCUGGUGGACGUGACCCACAUGUCCCUGGACGAUGUCGUCAUUAUUAUGUCAAUUCCGCGCCGCUUGGUGCUGGCGAUACGUCAGCGGCGAGGCAACAGAGGCACAGGAUCUCCUGGACCGCCGACGCUCUCCCGACCAGAACAGAAGCCCCCACCGGUUGUGGUCAUCAAGCGAGAUUUGCGGGACGAGGAUCUGGACGAGACGGACCGGAUGCCGAGGCCGCGCUCAUCACGUGACAGACGUACAGGAGACGGUCGCGAGAUGACGGAAUCUCGAUCUCGGCUAGGUCUGGGCCUCAACAAUUACAGUCCGCAGUCCGAGCAGCUGGACAUGUACUACAAUACCCGCGGCGGAGGUGGUGGACCCAUGGGCGAGCCGCCCAACUGGGGCUAUAAGCCACCACCGCCACCGUCAUCCGUGAUUACGGAGCAACCCACAAAGGCACAUGCUUUUGCGCCGUCGCAUGCCUACUACCAAAAUGCGGGCACUCUUGAAAGCCUCGCGGAGAAGGUACAUGCAUUCUAUCCUGGACAGCCUGGUGCUCCGCCCGUGGGUCCCUCGAGAAGAAUGUCCACGGGCACUGGGAACGUUGGCCUCGCUCAGCAACAUGCCAGAUUUCCGCGGUCUGGCUCAGAUCAGCAUUUACCUCGCGUAGAAUAUGCGGACUAUUCCAAUUCCCUGGGACGCCAUUCCCUUCUACGAUCAAGCUUAAAACCUGGAACGGCCGGUGGAGCUCCCAUGCAGGUGGGAGUGGGAGGCACUCUUGGCCGGUACGGGCGCUAUGAUCAACAGAGAGCCGGUGUAUCCAAGUACGGCCCUCCAUCUGGCGGAGCUCAAUCGCUGACCCGUCGUUCCAGACCAAAUUUGGACUAUUCCAGCGAUACGGAAGCCACAAUUGGGCCCAGGCCAAGUUACUACUACUACAACAGACCUGCCAUCGGCAGCAUGUCAAGGGGAUCAGGUGGAGCAGGCGGAGUUGGCGCAGCAUCAACGGCAGCCUUGCUGGCCGGAGCUGCGGAUCUCAAUAAAUUCAACUCAUUGCCCCGAGAGCGUCCCGGCACGAGAUUGCAGGGCAUUCGCUCCAGAAUGGGAGAUCGUUUGGUGGACGAGAAUGACGGUAAUACCUCGGCACCCGAGUUCGAUGCACGGAGGGGUAGGGAUUUGCGUCAGCGAAUUACCGCCAGUCCGUCGAUAUUCACGGCGGAUGAGUACCGCGCCUGGCUCAGAAGGGCACCUAGCAGUUCAGCAAUUGCGGAGCAAAUGCGAAUGACGCGGGACAUGUUUGCCCAGCCACGGGCCCAAAGAUUCUCAUGUAGCGCUGAGAACAUCCACGAUGCACUGCGAAAUACGGAAAGCAUCUACUCCAGUAGAACCCAUAUCCUUGGCACGGGCACUCUCGAUCGGAACAUGGGUCUCACCCGACCAAUUUCUGCGCUACCGGUCCGCUCCAUGUCCUCGCAGCACAUUGGAGGAGCGGGCUCCAUUCGUUCGCCGAGCAUACGGCGCAUGCGGCAGUUACUGGAGCUCUCCGCAGGUCCCGCCAGCCCGAGCGGCAGCAUUCUGAGCACCGGUGGUCACCAGAGUCCAGCACCAACACCAAGUGCCACCUUGCCACGCCCACACCGCCAGAUCGACAUUAACCCGGCGGAGUUCGCCAAGUACAAGCUGGAUAAGCCCAUCGUUGAUAUUGGAGGGAUCUCCGGCAUGUUAUGGAUUCACUUGCUGGCAGGUCGCGGCCUUAGAACCGCUCCAGAGGGAGCAGCAGGGGCGGCGCCACAGGGCCAAACCAGAGAUCUGUACUGCGUAAUCGAGUGCGAUCGCGUACAUAAGGCACGGACGGUGGUGCGAUCGGGUGACCUGCAGUUCGACUGGGACGAGUCGUUCGAGCUUGACUUGGUGGGCAACAAACAGUUGGAUGUACUAGUCUACUCAUGGGAUCCGCAGCACAGACACAAGCUGUGCUACCGAGGCGCCAUUUCGCUGUCGUCAAUCCUCCGUCAGUCGCCACUGCAUCAACUGGCCUUGAAGGUUGAGCCAAGGGGGACGAUAUACAUUCGCAUGCGGCACACGGAUCCACUGGCUCUUUACAAGAGGAGGGGACUUCCGAGCCUGAGGGCAGGUUACCCCACGCUCUUCGGCGCUGAUCUGGAAACGGUGGUCAAUCGGGAGUCUAAGAAUGCUCCCGGAAGUGCACCCGUUCCCAUCGUAUUGAGGCGCUGUGUGGAGGAGGUGGAGCGCCGUGGUCUGGAUAUAAUCGGGUUGUACCGACUGUGCGGCUCGGCUACCAAGAAGCGAUUGCUACGCGAGGCCUUCGAGCGCAAUAGCCGUGCAGUGGAAUUGACCCCGGAACAUGUUCCUGACAUCAACGUCAUCACCGGCGUCCUCAAGGAUUACCUCAGGGAACUGCCCGAGCCGCUGUUCACGCGCUGUCUUUUCCAGAUGACGGUGGAUGCCUUAGCUGUCUGCCUACCAGAUGACCCGGAGGGCAAUGCGAAACUGAUGCUUAGCAUUCUCGACUGCCUGCCGCGGGCAAACAGGGCCACCCUGGUAUUCCUCCUUGAUCACCUCUCGCUGGUCGUUUCAAACUCGGAGCGGAACAAGAUGUCCGCCCAGGCGUUGGCCACCGUGAUGGGCCCACCGCUGAUGCUGCAUUCGGCGAGUGCGCAGCCGGGUGCUGAUAUCGAUCACGCUCAGCCGAUCGCGGUGCUUAAGUAUCUGCUGCAGAUCUGGCCGCAGCCGCAGGCGCAGCAUCAGCAGAUGGCGCAGCACAUGGGCGGCGCUGCGGGCGCGAUGAUGGGCGGCUUGGUCACCGCCGGGAGCAUGAGCAAUAUGGCCGGUGUUGCUUCAGACAGGUCGGCGCGGCGAGUCAACAGGGCAGCGUGGAAGCAAAGUCAGUGCGUUGCCAGCGGACAGACAGCAACUUCUACUGCAGCAGCAGGCGCAGCUCAUGGCGGCGGGCAAUCUUCUGCGCUCGUCCACUUCGGUAACCAACAUACUCUCCCAAGGCCAUCCUCAGCUCUCAGCCACAGCCAACAAUCAUCUGUAUCAAUCAGUAGUGGGUCAGUUAGCUCAAUCGCAUCGAGCCUUGCAACAAGCGGUGCAACAGCCCUAUCAAUUGGGGGCCUCAGUGGGCUCAGCAAUUCCCGACCCAUCGCCACUGCCACUUCCAGGCACACCCUCCCCCGGCAGUAGCUCAGCGUCGACGGGUUCGGGCUCGGGCUCGGGCUCCGGAUCGGGUAAAAGCACGGAUACCAUCAAGCGCGGUGCUUCGCCUGUAUCCGUUAAGCAAGUCAAGAUCGUCGACCAGCCAUCCAGUCCAUACUCCAUUGUGAUGAAGAAGCCGCCGCUGCAAAAAGAUGCGCCCGUGGAAAUCACCACACCCACCACGCAGGCGGAUGCAGAGUCGACCCUGGGAAGCAAAGAUAGCAAUGGAACAUCGUCUCGAAGGGGGAAUGUGGACUUUUAUGAUACGCAUAAAGCGCAGGCCAAGAGUUUUGCGAACGAAGAACCCAGCUACAGCUCCAAGUACAGCGCCUUGGAAACUAAGAAGAUCAGCCUUGGCAACAGUACCUACACGCCCAGCAAGGCGAAUGCCAGUGGCCUUUCCGCCGGCGAGGACUACAAAGCGAUGCGUAACAAGUCGAGCGCUACUUCCAGCUCCAGUUCAUCGCAGGCCACCGUUUUGAGUGCUGGUUCUACGGCCACGUCAGCCCCGACCACUUCUUCGGACGAUUCGGAUGAUCUGGUCUCCUACAAGUCAUCGGCGUCCACAAAUGCCUUGCUGGCCCAAUCGCAAGCCAUGACCACCAGUCAGCUGAUGUCCAAGUAUCUCAAGCGGGAGCCACGAGUACAGUUUACGCCAAUGAAGUCACCGGAAUCGCCCUCGCCACCGGGUAGCGGCGAUGGUCUGCCCAAGGGCACUUACCAACUGGUUACGCCUAUCUCGGGACCGUCGAGCAAACCGGGCGCCACAACUGGAGCUAUAAGCAAGUACACCACCGGCUCAGUGGAUUCAUCUACAAGUGCGAACAGCCAGAAGUUGUCAUCGCCCUCGCGAUUGUCCAACAGCAAGGAUAGCAAUAGCAGGACUGGAACGGCCAGCAGUACGACAGCCGCGACCUCUUUGGUUUCGACAGGUCGGCGUUUGUUCGACAGCCUCGCCUCUUCAUCGUCCUCGGAAACGGAGACCAAGACCUACAUAGGCGGCACCACUGCGGCCAGUGGGGCCGUCACCACCACCACCUACACCAACGACACCAAGAACUCCGGCACCAGUAGCAGUAAGUCGGGAAUAGGAGGGGGGUCUGGAGCUGGGUUUGGAGCGGUUUCGGGAGCAGGCUCCGAGCAUCGAAGCUUCGGCAGUACGCUAUUCGGCAGUAGUGGCUUAGGCAACGGCAAUGGCAGCAACCACAAUCACUCUAACGCCAGUCCAAGUCCCUUCACCACCACCAACGGCAACGGCAACCACAACACCAUGCAUCUGUAUGGCACCUUGCCCAAAAACGGAACCUCCACGGGGGCAGCUUUGUUCGGCGGCUCGGCCAACAGCUCCUCGUACCACUCCUCGGCGAGUGGCAGUGGAGCCGGAACCGCCAGCAGCAGUGGGGUCAGCUCUAUGACGGGCUCCACAAAUAGCUACGACUUCUACACGAGCACAAGCUCCAGUGUGAGCAGUUCGCGCCCCUUUGCCAACGGAGGCAACAACUACCACACUCUGGGAACCUAUAGGGCUCAGUACGCCGCCACUAAUCCCUUCCUGGACGCCUUCGACGAAAAGCCGGGCAGCAACGGGGGUAAUAGCCACGGGGAGGAGAAGCUAGGCGCGGACAAGGGCCACCACAGGGCGGCCGUAAUGGCCUUUCAGUCGUCAGGAGACUCGAAAAACGGUAGCGAUGAGUACGAUGACAUCAAGUGAGGCAGGCAAAAGGCUAUAGAUGCGGUUAGAAGAAAGGAAUACAGAUACAACUACGAUUAUACGCGUACAAAUGGUGAAAGUAAAGAAAUCUAAAAGCUAGUCUUCCUGGUUUAACCCUUCUUGCUCUCUUUUUGCACCUUUGCGAUCUGCGAUCUGCGAAAAUAGUUCGCAUAUACCAAAUACUUUUGGGCAACGAUAUACGAUCAACUGCUCUGGUUUAAACUUUUUCAUUCCAUUCUACGAGUUUGAUCGGCAAGCAUCAAUACAUUCAUUCCCUUCGCCAUUGCAUUGCGCGUCUAAUCGUAGUUACGUAACAAAACUAAUGCCACACAAUGCUGAAAGUGUUCUUUUGAAGUAUUUACAGUUUACAAAUUUACAAAGUACGAACGACAGUUGCAUACAAAGGCCCCAAUGAGAACCCCCUAAACUUUAGAGCCUAAAGCAAGCAUAAUCUACACACAUAAAAUAAAUAGUCGCCGAGCUCUGUGUAUGUGUUUAUAGAUACUUGUGAAAGCUUAUCCCUGGUAGCGUUACAAGUUUUGAAGCGCUUGACAGUGGUUUGCCGUUUAGCUAACAUAAAUCCGAAUUCAAUAACAUUUACGAACAGUAUUUUUUAAUGAACUAAAACUAAAUGAACUAAAAAAUAAAACAUAAAUUAAAGUCAACAGCGUAUACAAUAAAUUACAUUUAAAAAAUACAAAUAGAAGGACUUACCCAAAAGGUUGAACGCGCAUUUAAUUUUUCAAAAUAAUCCUAUAUCAACUUACACCCCUCUACUAGACACAAGAUUCGUUACUGAUAUAUUUUUGCAUACUCCCUUUUCGCAGUAUAUACUGUAUAUAAGAAAAGCUCUUAUAAUCUACCCACAUUAUCUCCUUUGUGAGCGUUUCGAUGUGACCAACUCUCUUAUCUGCAUAAGCAAUGUACACGACUAUAACAACCUGUCUAAUUAACUAUUCGACGACUUUUUGAGCAACAUAUUUUCCUGCAAUGUUUCCCAAUGCCUCUUUUAUAAAUCUUAAAUGUGCAUGUGUGAUCAAGAAACGAUCGAACUCCCGAUUAGGAUUUCACAUAGCAGACACCACUCGCAAACUGACAUGCAAAUUACAAAUACAUGAAUUUAUUAACGAAUCAAUGUGCUUAGUUUUUGUAUGAAACAAAGUCUGAUAUAUACACUAAUAUACAACGGUACAGUAUAAUAUUUCUAAACAUUUAAUUAUAAUUAUACAAGCGAUGAGAAAAUAUGUAAUGUUAAUACAUAUUACUAAAUAGCAAGUUAAGAACGCUUUGCGAUUAAGAAGUUUACAGCAGGUAUGUUUUCAAAGCUUUUUAAAGUGUAUUAAUGACCAACUGUGCUUAACCCCAAUUGUAUAGGAAAUUACAUUUAAAUGACCCUAUAACGAUCUCAAUUUUAUAAAAACUUAAAAUUCAUAAUACUUUCGAAUACAUACGUUGCGGAACUGUAAAUACCCAAAAAGGAAUUUACCAAUCUCGUAGUCAACUAUUCAGUAAAUGAAGCUGGUUAUAGUCAUAGGCUUUGGCAAACAGCCUACACCUCUUAUUAUUUAAAUAAAGGUAGACAAAAUAGGAAGAAACUAAAAUAACAAAUAAAGCCCUGAGGUACAGAGAGAUUUAUGUUAGCUAACAAAAAUGAAUAAUCAUUCGUCUUCAUGCAAGUACAACUUUCUUCAGCGACUCAAUAAAAUCAAUAAAGUAAAGAGCCUCACUUAUUACAUUACAAUUCAUUCAUUCGUUUCCAUAACUAAUCGAAAUUAUAUAACCCAAAACUAUAAUCAAUAUUGUGGACUAUUUGAUUUUAACAAUUAGUACGGCUUAUAGAGAUCGAUUGGGAGCCCCAAAACGCAAUAAGAUUUUAAAUAGUAAAUUAUUCGGUUAAUUGUUGCCAGAUUUAUUUUAUAAGAAUGGAUAGCAUUUAAAGUGUUAAACAUGAUUACCAAACCAAAGAGUUUAAAACCACAAUAUAGGCAACCAUAUAGUUGAGCAAAUUGAUUUUUAUAUAGUGAAUUGUUAAUUAUUGCAUAUAGCACGUAGAAUUUUUAACAAAAGCAAAAAGGAAUCAGAAGUUUUGGCGGAUGAGUUAUUUUAAGGUGGUCGCGACUUGCUUGCCGCCAUCGCUGCCCAACUUGAUUGAUUUUAGGAUUUUAACUUCAUACAUAACCAAGAAACAUCAAUGUUACUAAAGCUGUCGCCUUCGUUUUAAACACAAGUAAGACCCUAGAACCCCUAUUAGCUCUGCAAUCCGGUUUUUAAUUGGUUUAUCCCGAAAGCUUUAAUCGUUGAACGACCAGAAUUACACGGUUACAAAUUCUAUAAAUAUUCCUUAUAUACCAUAAAAUAGUAGGAGUUGGUGGAAGAUAUCAUGACACACUUCGGUUUAUUUGCGAGUUGUUGUGGCUUCAUAGGCGUAGUUAGUUAGCACUAGAUGUAAAACCUGGCGGAGAUUCGAGCGUUGUCAGUUGGUGGUGGAAGAAGGAAGUGGGGGCAGCGACUGCAGUGGCGUCGGUUAGUGGUUUGUGGUUUGCCGCUUGGAGCUGCUUUUCUGGGCCCGAUCUUGUUCGAUAUCUAUUUGUACUUGUACUUAGAACUCGUAAGCAUACACUAUGGAAUAUAUAUCACUGUGUCAUAUCGUACAUUUAAAGCAAAUAACGAAAACAGAUUGGAGCUGAACGAAGUAGCGGAAGAGAGAAAAUUUUUAACGCAAAGUAUUCAUGUAUCGAAGUAUGUAUACAACCUAAAUUAAUAGCAGUCGAGCAGAAACUACAUAAUAUAAAUAGAUAAAUACCAAACUAAACCAGAACUCGAUUGGCGCGAAACCAAGUACUACAAAUUGUACAUGCAUUUAAUCUAGAAUAGCUACAACUAACUAAACACUAAUUAUCUGAUACUGAAAACCAAACCAACUUUUAGCUGGCAAACGAAAAUGGCAAAUGAAUUGAUAAAUAUGCUAACACAUUAGACAUUAAAUUAGUUAUCAGUGAAUUAACAGAAACGAACUAAUUUAUUAAAAUGUAUUGCACAAUAUCGAACACUUAAACGUAUUAGAGAAAGUAACUAAGCCUACUACAGGUAAUAUGCAUACGAAUAGAAUCGGACACAUAGGCAAAGGUGGCAGGAUGCAGGAUGCAGAUUCAGAAUAUGUUCAAAACCUAAUCUCCAAGUGAAAUCGACCGGUUCCACGGCGGUACUUUCGGGUAGUGAGAUGGAAGAUCUGUUCUACUGCGAUUUGGAUGAUUUGGAUAGUGCAUACGCCUAAUUAUUUGUAAAGAAUAUGUGUGUUUAUGUAUGCAUUAAAUGUGCCUAUACUUUCCUUUAAUUUAAUGCAAAAAGACCCUUCCGCCCGCACCCGCAAUAUUUUUUUUUUUUUUCGCCCACUUUGAGAACCCUUUGACGCUUUACGGGGAUUUUUAUUAUGGUUUUUCGAGGUUUGUAAGGAAUGCAAUUAUGGAAAAGAUUUCUUCUGUCGAACUUAAUAAGUAAAUGGAGACCAAAUGCUCAGGGCUUUAGCAAGUUAUAGUAGGCGUAAUAUACAAAAAAAAAACAAAAAUCAAGGGGAGACCCACCUAAAAACUAAGUGCAACACAUCAUGAGCAUACUCCAUCAAACGUUAAGGCGAUACAUUUUAGUUGAAUCUUUAGAUCUGUCAUCACCAGCUUAAGCUGCAGGUGCAACUUAACAAUAGCAACAGCAGCCACAACAAGAACAAUCCAACAAACAAAUUUACAAAAUUCACGCAAUCAAUUUGUUGAAAAGACUGAAAACCAUAUAAAACAAAAGAAAGACAAAACAAAAGUAAACCAAGAACAUACAACUCCCUUUGCAUAGAGAUCGACAUCAAACCAAAAAUAUUCAUACUCUAAUAUUUUGAAGAAGAUCCCCAGUAUAAAAAGUCUCAGAGUUUUCCUUGUUUAUGCGGUCAAUUGAAAUGUUUUGGUGUAUUCCUUUUCCAGCGCGUCAUUGAACUUUAUCGAAGUAACUUAACAAAUCUUAAAGUAAUAGUAAAAUAUUAGCAAAAACAAUACAAAUAUUACCACCAGCAGUUUGCUACCUACUUAAUAUGCAAGUUUAAUAUAAAAAUGUAAUAAGAAAUAGUCUAACAAAUAGUUCAAAACUUUACGAAAUGAGAAAAGUUUUCAUGUAGAAUAAUAAACGAUGCCGGAUAGAUCUAUAGCAAAAAUAUCACACUCCUCCCAGGUCGUUGUGCAAAAUUAUAACUAAUUAUAUUUAAUACAUCAAACCGUUUUUAAAAACCCACCAUUAAAGGAAGCAUAAACGAACAAUGUUAAAAAAUCUACAUCCAAUUCAUUUUUUCGAAUCUUUCUUCCUUAUUUGGACCUCCUUUUAAUAUGGCAUAUGAACAAAACACAAACAAUUAAGCGUAAUGAACAAAAAUAUGUAUAUAUCUCAAUAUCUUAUUGCGGAUCUCCAUACCUUAAACGCAGACGCACGAAGAAGUUAAGCCACGUCGGAGCAAACCCUGAUCCAGCCAACUGACAGGAUCGCAAACAGCGAGGAUUCGUUAGAACGGAUAAUACUCUGAUUUACCACUGCCACAAAGAAGCAAACAAGUAAAUUGUAACGUUAAAAUAGAUAUAAAACACCCGGUACAUUAUAUAGAUACUUUGCUAUUGCGUAAAUGAAAUAAAAAAAGUAUCUUAUUUGACAAAGCCAUGGCGGAAGUUCACUGCAUAACGCAAAGGCGGACUGGCAUGCAGCGUCUGCGCGUAUGUGAUUGCCUAGAAAGCAAGUAAACUUAACAUUAUAAUUUAUUACAAACAAAUAACAAUAAUAAUUAUGCAUAACUACGGAAAGCAAAACGAAAUGCAAACUAAUACAUAAAUCGUUCCCUGCGUACGAAU